rnacentral:lncRNA from 10 species
UAGGUCAGUGUUUUGUAACCAGAAUAGAGGAGGUCUCAUGGAAAUUUGAAUGGAGAAAAAUGGAGAGAGAACUCAAUCACAUGGAGUGCAGUAGGAGCCAUGUACCAAACUGAAAAGGCUGUAGUCACAUCAGUUAAAUGAAUAGAUCUUGUACACAAUUCAAUGUAUAUACCUGUGAAACCACUAUCCCAAUGAAGAAAAAGAAAAUUUUUGUCAUUCCAGAGAGUUCACUCAGGCCCUCUUCCAGUCAAUCGCCACACUCCUAGACAAUAGCUGAAGAAUGUGAGAAAGAAAAAUCAAAAGCACACAAAUGAGACUGUGCAGUGAAGAGGCCACAGAGACAACCAUACUGUCUUUUUGUAUCACAAUAAGCAAAAAACAGCGUCUCAGUAUGUUGCUCAGGCUGUUCUUGAACUCCUGGGCUCAAAUCAUCUCCCACCUCAGCCUCCCAAACUGCUGGGUUUACAGGCAUGACCAACUGCACCCAGGCUAUUAAGACCUUCAUGAGAGAAAUGUCCUCGCUAUUCCUGGAGGAAAGGAACAAGAAUGUUCAUAUCCCUGAAGACACAGAAACAUAAAGAAAAAUCUGAACAAACAGGCCUUGCUAAAUUCCCCCCAGUUUAUUGCCAUGAGAUUGUACACUUGUGUUUUCCAAUCAUAUUUCUCCAUGACUGUUCACUCUUCAUCAAACUAAGUAUAAAAAUAUACAUUUACCUGUUUCUUUGGGUCUUUAUUUCUUUAUUAAGGCUCCUAUAUCACAUAAAAUUUACAUUUAAUAAAUUUGUAUGUCUUCAAGUCUGGGCACAGUGGCUGAUACCUGCAAUCCCAGCACCUUGGGAGGCCAAGGCAAGUGGAUUACUUGAGCUCAGGAGUUCAAGCUACCAGGCAGGCCAAGAUGAGAGGAUGGCUUGAGCCCAGGGAGGCAGAUGUUGCAGUGAGCCAAGAUGACACCAUUGCACUCCAUCCUGGGUGACAGAGCCAGAUCCUA